GGAGACGUGGCCGAGUGGUCGAAGGCGCUCGCCUGGAAAGUGAGUAUACGGCAAAACCGUAUCGAGGGUUCGAAUCCCUCCGUCUCCGCCA
rnacentral:tRNA from 1 species